rnacentral:tRNA from 1 species
CCUGUAGCUCAGUGGUAAAGUCUUACAUGUAGGUCCCAGGUUCAAUCCCUGGUGUAAAGG